CGCUGUCCAAACGAGGGGCGCUGCGCUGGCGCCGACACACGCUGCAAAUAAGGCGCUUCGCACUGUCUUCCCACUUCUUCGUUUACCUCAUUUGGUGAAACUGCACAAGCUCAGGGCUUGGAACUUCCGUCUUCUUAUCACGGACAUCGUGUACUGUUCCAGCCCUCAGCCAAGUCGUCCAGGAAGGAAGCGUUUUGUUCCUUUUAGACAGAGGGCCUGGCCGGCCAUAUGGCACGCUGUUGACAAGCUCUAGCAGUCUCUGAGAGUGGGCUGAAGUGGCGCAUGUAACAACAGCUGGCGCUCCCUAGGUUUCCUAGCUGUCCUCGUCUUGGGUCUCUACGUGCGUCUUUGCCUUUGAUCUUCACUGUGACUCACGAGGUGCAGGAGCCCAAGCACUUGGGCCAUCCUCUACUGCCCUCCCCGGGCCACAGCAAAGAGCUGGACUGGAAGAGGAGCAACCGGGACUAGAACCCAGCACGCACAUGGGAUGCCGGCACUGCAGGCGGAGGAUUAACCAACCUCCUGGUGAAUGUUGGGUGAAUGUGACAGACAGCUUGGGGAACCCCUGGUUUCCAGUGGAGCACACAGGCAAGGCACUGAGCACCGUGAAGUCAGAGCCCGACAUUGGAGGGGCAAGCAGGUUUCUUCGCAGGCAGUGAGCAAGCCCUGCACACUCUGCUUCGCACUCAUUUGCAGGGAGGAAGACACAGUGGCUGCAGCUCGCUCUGUGAUGACAGAACGUGCCAAGAAAAUCUGCGAGUCCGGGCCAGCCCUGGGGUCCCGUUGCCAGCUGGGAUUAUCCAAAGUGGGGUCCUUAGAGACAGCGGGCGCUCUCCUCCACCACAGACUGCGGAAACCUCCCACUCGACUGUUUUAAAAGCUGCAGAGAAUUAAACAUAGAAGCCUUGCGGAGGGAGGAGAGUCCUCUGGGGGCGCUUUGUUUGCUUUGGUUUCUAUCUCCCUCCCUGGAAUGCAGUAAAAUCCUGGAGUAGUCAACUUGCAAAGAGGGGGCCAGGCCGAGAGAGGAAAGCCCCCCCGUGCCAAAGUGAAGGGUGAGGAGCCCCUGCUGGGUUCUGGUUUUAUAAUCAUUUCUGUUUAUAGUCGGGAGGCAAUAGCCCCCUUCUUGAAUUCAGCACACGGAGUCUUUUCUUCGCUGUUCCCCUGCUUAUCCAAACAUUAUUGGGCCCCGUCCUUCAAUGGGUUAUUAUUGAACAGCUAAUGUCAAAUACAGACCAAGGCUGCUGGUUGAAUGGGACGCCUGUGUCUCUCAGGUGCUGAACGCACCAUUCACGCCGAGGGCGCGGCGCUGGGGAAUGGUGGCCACCAGAGGCAGCAGACUUGGCUGGGUGGGUGGGAGCAGCGUGACCUCUGGGUGGGUGGGGGCAGCGUGACUUCCCUGUGCUUUGAAGAGGGCUGUGGAGCAAGGAAGGGGCUGAAACAUUGCUCUGUGGACCACUGGCCCUUGGAGCACUGAUUUUAGCCACGGGCCUGAGAAAAUGACAGAGGGAUGUGUCUUGGGUCCAGGGCCAGCCCUCAACACUCGCUCACUCACUCUUACACACACGACGGCCCUAAGGUCUCACUUAAAUGAUGGAAAACACCAGAAAAAUGACAAGAAAGGAAGAAUUCCAAGUGCUAUCCUGGAACUCUGAAAUAAUUUUUAAGAAGACUUAUUUAUGGAUCUGAAAGGCAGAAUCACAGGAGUGGGGGAGAGAGAAAAAGAGAGAGAGAGAUUCUCUCUCUGAUGCCAAUGUCUACAACGGCCGUGGCUGGACCAGGCCGAAACCAGGAGCCAGGAGCUUCAUCUGGGUGUCCCAUGCAGGUAGCAGUGGCCCAAGCACUUGGGCCAUCUCCCACAGCUUUCCAGGGUGCUUUUAUAGGGAGUUGGAUAGGAAGAGGAGCAGCCAGGACUGGCACUCAUAUAGGAUGUUAGCAUUGCAGGCAGCGGCAUAACCCACUGCACCACAGUGCUGGCCCCUGAACUCACUUUGUCUUAGCGACCCCAGUAGGCUGUCUGAAGUUGGGGCUUGAAUCCUUUUCUGAGAGACUCCCCUGUGAGGAGGAGGCACAAUGAGGGGUGGUGAGCAGCCACAGAGAUUCGGAGAAGCUGGUUGAAGAAAGAGGAUUCCGGAGCUGUCCCAGCCCUGGCCCCUGCAGCUCACCUCUGUCCGCCUCCCCCCUCGGCACAGCCAGGGCCACUGCAUAGCAGGAGGCUUUGCACACCGUCUGCCAGUGCCCAGCGGAUGACUUCAAAACAUGUGGGAAAUAGGAUCGAAAGAGAAGUCUAUAUUGAUGCAGGAUUUUUUAAAAAAUUUGUUUACUUAUUUAAGAGAGUGAGAGGAAGGGUCUAUUUAUUUGGCUCCCCAAAUGCCCCAAAUGGCCCAAGGGGUCAGGGGAAGGGGAAGCCAGGAGUCGGGAACUCAAUCCAUGUCUCCCACAUGGGUGGCAGGAACCCAGUGGCUUGAAACCAUUAUUACUGCUUCCCAGGGGCUGCAUUAGCAGGAAGCUGGCAUCAGGAGCUGGAGUUGGCCAUCAAACCCAGGCGUUCAGAGUAGGAUGUGGGCCUCUAACUGGGUGUCUUAACCCUUAGGCCAAACGCUGCAAACGUUUUUGAAACAUGUACAUAAUUUUUACGUAAUACACAUUUCCACGAACUUUGUGAAGACCCCGCAUGUGCAUGGAUUUCAAAAAUGUUUGCACCCAAAUCCUAAUUUUUGAACUAAACUUUUCCACAUACAUUUUGAAGUUCCACCAUACCUUAGUGACUCCCUUGCUACGAAGCAAAACGCCUCUCAUUCUGCUGUGAAAGAGGAUGUAGGAGGACUAUCCCUCCUCUGUGUACCCCACAAGGCGGCUAUGGAGAGGAGAAGGUAAUGUUUACAAUGGGCGCUGUCACACCCAGGUGACAGCCACAGCAAUAUCAAGUUUACGAUUAUGGUUCUGCUCGUGUCCCUGCGCGUUCAUUGCCCCACUCACAUCGCAGGAGUAAAUACAGGCUCCCUGGGAAAAGACAACAGUACCGACUACUAAUGACAGCGCUCACAGCCCACACAGCACAGUCGUCUCAAGUUAGAGCUUCCCUGGGCAUCAGUCACGCUUCAUUUCCAAGUACCUGGCUACCUUGAAAGGAAUGGUAGGUGCAGGAAGGGGCUGGGCUGGACCGAAGAUGCUCUCGUCAGUAUUUGAGACAGUGCAAAUCUUAGGCAGCUCAUGAAUGCUGUCCGGUAGCCACUGGCCAUCUGUGGCUAGUAAAGCCUUUGAAAUGUGGCUAGACUGAAUUUCAACGUCUCAGACGUGCACAGCAUACAGGGGCUUGGGAAAAAGCCCAGUGGAGAAAAGGACGUGAAAUAUCUUACUGAUGGCUCUUUCAUACCGAUGUUGAGAUGAUGUUUUGCAUAUGUAUUUAAAUAUUUCACUGAGUUUAAGUACAGCUAGUUCUCGUUUAAUGCGGCUACUAGGACAUUUUAAAUUACAUGUGUGGUUGUGAUAUACGUCCACUACACAACGCUGGGAUGGUCUUUAUUAGUAGACGGUGGGGUGCUGGAAUUCUGUGUUCCCUGCCUUAUUCAUAUCAUCAGGGAAGUGAUUGGCCUGAAUUGACUCUUUGGUUGAAGGUGUUGCCAAGGGAAAUUAUGAAUCACUUUGAAACAGAUAAAAGGAAAGUUACCGAGUGUCCUGGCCAAUGCGUUAUUGGAGUUAUCGCCACCUUUUGUUGUUUUUCAGCUCUUUUAUAGUUCUGCAACUGAUAAUGAGGAAAAUCAGUCUUAUCUGUUGGAAUGUAUAAUUGUUGUGUCUGGUGCAAUAUAAUUGAUUACUGCCCUGUGGACAGAGUCUUUCAAACUUCUUUAUAAAUUCAUUUCAGUAUUCAUUUUACCCAUGUAGAUGUGGUUUACUGAAUUCUUCUGUGAUGUGAUGUUAACACUUUACUUGUCCCUCAUGAAUUAAUGAGUUAAAUAAAAAUCUUUGAUAUGAGUUCAUUUUAAUCAUUGUACACGAGUCACAAUUUUGUCUUUUUGAAAAUUAUUUGAGAGAGAGAGAAAGAGAGAGAGAGAUCCCAUCUGCUUGUUCACUCCCCAGAUACCUGUAACAACUGGAUAUGGGCCAGGCUGAAGCUAAGAACUGAGACUUCAAUCCAGGUCUCCUACAAGGUGCAGGGACCCAACCACUCGAGCCGUCACCAGUACCUCCUAGGAUGUGUGUUAGUAGGAAGCCGGAAUGGAGAGCAAGGGUGGGAUCUGAAUCCAGGCACUCUGAUAUUGGAUGUGGGCGUCUUAACCACUAGACAAAAUGCCCUCCUUGAUUUUUGCCUUUAAAAAAAUAACACUAGAGAAUUGAGGAGUUCUUGGACUUGACGGAAGCUGAGCCGGCCUCUUAUCCUUCCUCCCAACCCCAGCUGCUCCUCUGACGGCAGUGACCGGGCUGUUUCUGGCCCAGAGAUGAAACGCAGAGUGCAUUUUUCUAUAUUUUAUCUGAUGGCUGAUUGCUGCUUAAACACUACUCAGAUAGGAAGCAAGUGAAAUUAUGGGUGAUUUUGAAUUUUUCAGCCUGUUAGCGUCCCAACCACCCGGAGGAAUAUCUGACCCUAAGAGCAAAUGCACUGAGCUCCAUGAUAACGAAAGAGAAACUUAGCACGCGAAGGGACUUCCAAAAAUUUGUGGAAAACGGAAUUAGAAGAUAGAUUUAUUUUGAGGCCAAAGAAAUAGAAAUCCAUGAAACUCAGGGGUUCUCAAAACGUUUAUGGAAAAUAUAUUAUGGAAAAAAUUAUGCAUGGACUUAAAUUUUUUGUUCCCAAAUAGAUUUUGCAUUUUAGCUCGUUUUCCAUGAUUUUUCUGAAGUCCCCUCGUAGGACUUAUUUGUAAGGUGUACACUGUGGAUGUUCAACGAAGUACCCACAAUUUAAAUAUAACACAUAUUUAAAAGAAAGUGAGUAGUUACAGCUUUUUGGUUUUUUUUUUCUUUUCUUUUGUUCUGUUCUAUAAACACUGAAAAACCUUGACUUUCAAAACAAGAUAAGGCAAGAUGGGAUGAGCACACAGGAUUUAUUUUACAUUUUCAUUUAUUCCUGCAAAUAUAAUUAAUUUCAACAAACAUGAGCCAAUAAAAACAUAGAGUUGGUAAUGUCACAUACUUUCCUUUUUUGAAGUUUGGAAAUAAUACACUUAGGAUUGCUAUAUGUUUUGUUUCUUUUCCAUAUUCUUUUUUAAGAAGUUAGUUCUUUCUUUUUUCUUUUUCUUUCUCUCUUUUUUUUAGUAGUGAGAUCAUUAAAUUUUGUGAGUAUCGGCCUCCGGCGUGUAGGCUUACAGAACACGAGAAAGCUUCCCGAUGGUUCACAAGCAAAGAUGUAUGAUUUUUAAUACAUCUGUAAUUUUGAAAAUGAAACACUCACUCUACAAAUGCAGAAGAGGGUACUUAUAAAUUAUACAUUUUAUGGGCUUUUUUUAUAGAGAGAGGAGCCAUCCGAAGUCUCCAUUUCAAAUAUAUUUGUACAAUGUUUUCACCCCUAUAAUCUACCUGUAUCUAGUUAUUUUCUUUCUUAUUUCUUUGGGAAAUAACUUGAGGAGACUUUGUAGCAUAAGUAAGCACCUUGGCUCCCAUAUUUUUAGUAUUCCAAUUUACCUGGUGAUAUCAUCAAGGAAACAAAAAUAUAUUUUCAUAUAAAAUGUCAAAAACAUCUAUAGCCAAGUCAAACUUCAAAAAUUAAUUUCAAACAACUGAAAUGAUAAAAAAGUUGAACUUGCCUAUGGAUGAUUAUUUUAUAUUGAAUGCUUUUAAAAUUAUUAACACAGUGUAUUUGUAUAAUUAUUUCAGAAUAACAAUAUUAUCUUUUAAAAAGUUGUUUAAGCAAAAACCUCUGGUAAAAGAUCUCUGUAUUUUUAAUGUAUUGUAUAAAAGAGUUUUGCUGUCUCUCAGUGAAAUGGUGUAUAAACAGUGCUUAUUAAAUCUCCCAUCAUUAUCAAAAAAUA